CUUUACAAUGCAGGAAACUGCGAUAAGGGGACCCCGAGUGCCAGCAUCUAAUGCUGGCUGUCCAGCUGUGUAAAUAGCAGUUGUUAGCAAGGGCCGGGCAAGACCGGUGCCAGCCGCCGCGGUAACACCGGCGGCCCGAGUGGUAACCGAUUUUAUUGGGUUUAAAGGGUCCGUAGCCGGCCUGUUAAGUCUCUUGGGAAAUCUGGCGGCUCAAUCGUCAGACGUUCAAGAGAUACUGACAGGCUUGGGACCGGUAGAGGUGGGAGGUACUCCAGGGGUAGAGGUGAAAUUUUGUAAUCCCUGGGGGACCAUCGAUGGCGAAGGCAUCCCACUAGAACGGGUCCGACGGUGAGGGACGAAAGCUGGGGGCACGAACCGGGAUUAGAUACCCCGGGUAGU
rnacentral:rRNA from 1 species